CAUACGGGUGGGCUGCAGUGGGGAAUAUUGGACAAUGGGCGAAAGCCUGAUCCAGCCAUGCCGCGUGUGUGAAGAAGGCCUUCGGGUUGUAAAGCACUUUCAGUGGGGAAGAAAGCCUUGGGGCUAAUACCCUCGAGGAAGGACAUCACCCACAGAAGAAGCACCGGCUAACUCCGUGCCAGCAGCCGCGGUAAUACGGAGGGUGCGAGCGUUAAUCGGAAUUACUGGGCGUAAAGCGCGCGUAGGCGGUCUGAUAAGCCGGUUGUGAAAGCCCCGGGCUCAACCUGGGAACGGCAUCCGGAACUGUCAGGCUAGAGUGCAGGAGAGGAAGGUAGAAUUCCCGGUGUAGCGGUGAAAUGCGUAGAGAUCGGGAGGAAUACCAGUGGCGAAGGCGGCCUUCUGGACUGACACUGACGCUGAGGUGCGAAAGCGUGGGUAGCAAACAGGAUUAGAUACCCGAGUAGUC
rnacentral:rRNA from 1 species